UACGAAGGGGGGCUAGCGUUUGUUCGGAAUUACUGGGCGUAAAGCGCACGUAGGCGGAAUGUUAAGUCAGGGGUGAAAUCCCGGGGCUCAACCCCGGAACUGCCUUUGAUACUGGCAUUCUCGAGUCCGGAAGAGGUGAGUGGAAUUCCGGAGUGUAGAGGUGAAAUUCGCAGAUAUCGGGAGGAACGACCAAUGGCGAAGGCGGCAUCCUGGACCGACAUUGACGUGAACGGCGAAAGCUAGGGGAGCAAACGGG
rnacentral:rRNA from 1 species